rnacentral:rRNA from 1 species
CCUGUGAAGGUGUGUCGUGAGGCAUGCUGGAGGUAUCAGAAGUGCGAAUGCUGACAUAAGUAACGAUAAAGCGGGUGAAAAGCCCGCUCGCCGGAAGACCAAGGGUUCCUGUCCAACGUUAAUCGGGGCAGGGUGAGUCGACCCCUAAGGCGAGGCCGAAAGGCGUAGUCGAUGGGAAACGGGUUAAUAUUCCCGUACUUGGUGUUACUGCGAAGGGGGGACGGAGAAGGCUAUGUUGGCCGGGCGACGGUUGUCCCGGUUUAAGCGUGUAGGUGUGUGUUCCAGGUAAAUCCGGUUCACUUUAACACUGAGGCGUGACGACGAGGCACUACGGUGCUGAAGCAACAAAUGCCCUGCUUCCAGGAAAAGCCUCUAAGCAUCAGGUAACACGAAAUCGUACCCCAAACCGACACAGGUGGUCAGGUAGAGAAUACCAAGGCGCUUGAGAGAACUCGGGUGAAGGAACUAGGCAAAAUGGUGCCGUAACUUCGGGAGAAGGCACGCUGACACGUAGGUGAAGUGAUUUACUCAUGGAGCUGAAGUCAGUCGAAGAUACCAGCUGGCUGCAACUGUUUAUUAAAAACACAGCACUGUGCAAACACGAAAGUGGACGUAUACGGUGUGACGCCUGCCCGGUGCCGGAAGGUUAAUUGAUGGGGUCAGCGUAAGCGAAGCUCCUGAUCGAAGCCCCGGUAAACGGCGGCCGUAACUAUAACGGUCCUAAGGUAGCGAAAUUCCUUGUCGGGUAAGUUCCGACCUGCACGAAUGGCGUAAUGAUGGCCAGGCUGUCUCCACCCGAGACUCAGUGAAAUUGAACUCGCUGUGAAGAUGCAGUGUACCCGCGGCAAGACGGAAAGACCCCGUGAACCUUUACUAUAGCUUGACACUGAACAUUGAGCCUUGAUGUGUAGGAUAGGUGGGAGGCUUUGAAGUGUGGACGCCAGUCUGCAUGGAGCCGACCUUGAAAUACCACCCUUUAAUGUUUGAUGUUCUAACGUGGACCCGUAAUCCGGGUUGCGGACAGUGUCUGGUGGGUAGUUUGACUGGGGCGGUCUCCUCCUAAAGAGUAACGGAGGAGCACGAAGGUUGGCUAAUCCUGGUCGGACAUCAGGAGGUUAGUGCAAUGGCAUAAGCCAGCUUGACUGCGAGCGUGACGGCGCGAGCAGGUGCGAAAGCAGGUCAUAGUGAUCCGGUGGUUCUGAAUGGAAGGGCCAUCGCUCAACGGAUAAAAGGUACUCCGGGGAUAACAGGCUGAUACCGCCCAAGAGUUCAUAUCGACGGCGGUGUUUGGCACCUCGAUGUCGGCUCAUCACAUCCUGGGGCUGAAGUAGGUCCCAAGGGUAUGGCUGUUCGCCAUUUAAAGUGGUACGCGAGCUGGGUUUAGAACGUCGUGAGACAGUUCGGUCCCUAUCUGCCGUGGGCGCUGGAGAACUGAGGGGGGCUGCUCCUAGUACGAGAGGACCGGAGUGGACGCAUCACUGGUGUUCGGGUUGUCAUGCCAAUGGCACUGCCCGGUAGCUAAAUGCGGAAGAGAUAAGUGCUGAAAGCAUCUAA